rnacentral:rRNA from 1 species
GGGGAUACGCAAGUUUCGGCCGUUUCCGCGCGCCUGCAUCCGCGCCUGCACCCGCACCUGCGAACGUGGCUAGGGUCUCUCUUCCAAUCGGCUCACAACCUCUCAUUCACGCCGCUCUCCUCGCUCCUCUCCUCUCCCGUGCGACGCUGGAUCUCGCCGCCCCGUCGCCUUUGUGCACGUCGUCGGCGCGCCCCCUCGCUGCUGCGCAGGUAGAACUCUCUUCCUCUCUCAUCUCCCUGUCCGUCUCUUCCCCUUUCCAUCCCCGGUUCUCUGCCGCUCGCGUUGCUUCUUCUGCAGAUGCAGAUGGGUGAGCGGACAGAGCGGCGGCCUCCUCCGGCCACGGAUGAGAAGGAAGACAAGGUGAGAAUUAGAGAUGUUCGUCGAGCUCUGUGUGUGGCUGGCCCCGAUGUUUUUCCUUCUCUCAACGCCCCAUCUGGAUUAGGCUAGAGCUCCCCAGGGAACCAAACACGCCCAUAGGCGUAUUGGUGUUCGGCCCAACAACCACUGCUGUUCCCCGACCCGCGGUAGCACUGAUUGGCCUGGACCGCCACUCUGGUACAGGGCUGUGUUUCGAAAUAGCACAGAAGCUCAGCUCGGCGGCUGCUGUCUUCUUUCAGACACACGCAUAACAGCGGUAGUUCUCCAUGGGCGAUAUGUCGACAGAUGGACUCGUCCUCGACGGGAGGAGGGGAGCAAAGUUCGCUGGAUGGAAUUCGGCCAUGCUACCAGUGGAAUCCCAGGAUUCCAUGAGUGUUGCAGCUGUAGAGAUGGACAAGGGCGGCAAAGCACAGCAAGCUGUAGGUGGACAGAGAUACGAGGUGUGCUCUGAGGGUAAGGCUGGGUAAAUCACCUGAUGAGAGGGAGAUGAUCCCCGACAGGAAGACAUCACUUGAAUUGUCUGUCCGUGCUUACGCAGAGAAUGGGGAAGGCCAUGUUAUGAAUCCCAAGAUUGGCACAACAUUUGACUCUCUCAAUGAGGCCUAUUGAGCUUUAGAACCUGUAUUCCUGGAAAACUGGAUUUGGUAUACGGCUAGCAAAAAGCAAGCUGAAUGUCCAAAGGACGAGAUGCAUGCAAGAGAUUGUGUGUGCAUGUGCGGGUACCCCAUUGAAGGUGAACAUCCCUUCGUCUAGGUGUGGUUGAAAUGCAAUGAUAAGGCUGUUGGGGUCAAAAGAUGCUGGUUGGUACAUAUCGGAGCACAAAGUGAUGGUGCACUUCCGGUUGUAGAAAAUACCACAGAAGCAUAUACUUAAGCAAUGGACAAGAGAAGCGUGUGACGUUCUUCCAGAACAUUUGGUUAGGUAUCAGAGAGACAGAGGACCUCCAGCUAGUGAUAAAUCCAGGCAUCACACUAUGUACAUGAAGGCGUUGGAAUGUGUGGUGCUUGGCGACAGCAAUGUCAAGUGCUUUUAUGUUUUCAUGGCUGUGAUGAAGGAGGUGUAUGCGACUCUGCUUCCGCUGAGUGUCGAUAAAGAUGGAAUGGAGCUUGCAGACAAAGAGAAACAGCAGCAGAUUGUAGCGGAAACCCAACAUGAAUCAGUAGAGGCAAAUGUUGUGCUGCAUAAAGAUACCGGUGAUGGUGAAUCAAGUUGCUCAGGUGUAGGUGUGAAUGAGAAGAAGAGGCAGAGGGGAAGUCUGACAACAAGCAGAGACAAGGCGCCUUACGAGCAACAGCUUAAGACGUCGCAGUUUUGCACAAUCUGCAGAGAGCAGGGACAAGUGUACAACUUGCCCACAACAAGGCGAUUUACCAAAGGCUCCAAGGAAAUCGCCAAAAUGCACACAUUGUGGGGUGGUUGGACAUCGGCGCAAUACUUGCGGCACUAAAAAAACCGGGGCCUUUGAGCCAAACUUCCUCUAGAAUCAGUUAAUUUGCCACAUGCUCAACGUAAUUUAUACUUGCAAAAAUGUGUUGCAAGGACUCACGUUGCAUGCUCCAAACGUUUCAUUUGUUGCUUCAGCUAUCAGAACUUUUAUUUGAUGCUUGCAUGGUUUGGCCGAUUGUAUUUUACUUGUCCUGCUUGUGUCUUGCAUUCAUAAUUACUGGAUCAAAAUGUGCUUCAGAGUUCAGAGUUCCAUCUUGUUGACUUUAAAUAUAGUAGAUUUGAUUUCUAGCACGCUUUAUCAUUUUCUUAGUAUCUGUGCCAAAAAAGAUAGGAUUGUUGCUAACGUAAUAUAUUAAUGUAAUAACCUAUUUGUGUCAGAAUCAGUGCUCAAAUUCCGUCAAUUUAUAACAGCUGUUAC